rnacentral:pre_miRNA from 1 species
UGUUGUACUUUUUUUUUUGUUCGUUUAAUUUGGAGGAACAAAAAAAAAGCCCAACCCU